UCCGUGUAUAAUAGCAGACGAUAGGCGGGCUCGUGCCGGCUGUGACUGUGAGUGCCUCCUCCGGCUCUCUCGGUGCAGUCGUCGUCCGGGAGUGGGGCGCGAGGUGGCCGGAGUGGAGCUAGGCAACUCGAGCUAGUCGUCAAGAAGAAGGCUGCUGGAGAUGGGGAAGGCGGCGGCGGCGGUGGUGCUGGCCGUGAACGGCAAGCGGUACGAGGCCGCCGGCGCGGACCCGUCGACGACGCUGCUGGAGUUCCUGCGCACACAGACGCCCGUCAGGGGCCCCAAGCUCGGCUGCGGCGAAGGUGGCUGUGGUGCAUGUGUUGUCCUCGUCUCCAAGUACGACCCGUUCACCGACGAGGUGACCGAGUUCUCAGCGAGCUCCUGCCUGACGCUGCUCCAUAGCGUGGACCGCUGCUCGGUGACCACCAGUGAGGGCAUUGGCAACACCAAGGAUGGUUACCACCCUGUGCAGCAGCGCCUCUCCGGCUUCCAUGCCUCCCAGUGCGGCUUCUGCACGCCUGGCAUGUGCAUGUCCAUCUUCUCUGCGCUUGUCAAAGCCGAUAAGGCAGCUGAUCGACCAGCCCCGCCUGACGGCUUCUCCAAGCUCACUUCCUCGGAGGCGGAGAAGGCUGUCUCCGGCAACCUGUGCCGGUGCACUGGGUACAGGCCCAUCGUCGACGCUUGCAAGAGCUUCGCAGCCGAUGUUGAUCUUGAGGACCUGGGCCUCAACUGCUUCUGGAAGAAGGGUGAUGAGCCUGCAGAUGUCAGCAAACUGCCAGGUUACAACAGUGGUGCCGUCUGCACUUUCCCUGAGUUUCUCAAAUCUGAGAUAAAGUCCUCGAUUGAGCAGGUUAACAGUGCUGCAGUUCCUGUUUCUGACGAUGGCUGGUACCGUCCUAAGAGCAUUGACGAGCUUCACAGACUGUUUCAAUCUGACUCAUUCGAUGAAAAUUCUGUGAAGAUAGUAGCUUCAAACACUGGGUCUGGGGUGUAUAAGGAUCAAGACCUUUAUGACAAGUACAUUGACAUCAAAGAGAUCCCAGAGCUUUCAGUCAUCAACAGAAGCAGCAAGGGGGUUGAGCUUGGAUCAGUUGUCUCCAUCUCUAAAGCAAUUGAGGUGCUAUCAGAUGGAAAUGUGGUUUUCAAAAAGAUUGCAGAUCACCUGACCAAAGUGGCCUCUCCAUUUGUUCGGAACACAGCAACCAUAGGUGGAAACAUCAUUAUGGCGCAACGAUUGCAAUUUCCAUCCGACAUUGUGACUGUACUACUAGCUGCAAGUACAACAGUCACUAUCCAGGUGGCUUCCAAAACGCAUUGCCUCGCCUUGGAGGAAUUCUUGCAGCAGCCUCCAUGUGAUUCUAGGACCCUGCUGCUGAGCAUAUUUAUCCCCGAUUGGAGUUCAGAUGGCAUCACCUUUGAGACCUUCCGAGCAGCACCUCGUCCACUUGGCAAUGCUGUCUCAUAUGUCAAUUCAGCUUUCUUGGCAAGGACUUCAGUGGAUGCAGGAUCAAGGGACCAUCUCAUUGAGGAUAUAUGUCUGGCGUUCGGUGCGUAUGGAGCUGAUCAUGCUAUUAGAGCUAGGAAGGUUGAGGAUUACCUGAAGGGCAAAACAGUGAGCUCGUCUGUUAUACUUGAAGCUGUUCGGUUGCUUAAAGGGACUGUUAAACCAUCAGAAGGAACAACACAUCCUGAGUAUAGAAUCAGCUUGGCUGUCAGUUUCUUGUUUACCUUCCUAUCUUCCCUUGGCAACAGCUUGAAUGAAUCAGAAAAGGUUAAUGGUCCCAAUGGGUUAUAUAGUAAUGGAGCCACAAAUGGUGCCAUCCAGCACUCAUUGGAGAAGCAUCUUAAGUUUGACAGCAAUGAUUUGCCAAUACGAUCGAGACAAGAAAUGUUUUUGACUGAUGAGUACAAGCCAGUUGGCAAGCCAAUUAAGAAAGCAGGGGCAGAGAUCCAAGCUUCAGGGGAAGCUGUGUACGUUGAUGAUAUCCCUGCUCCCAAAGAUUGCCUCUAUGGAGCAUUUAUCUAUAGCACCCACCCUCAUGCCCAUGUAAAGGCUAUCAACUUUAAAUCAUCUUUGGCUUCACAGAAGGUCAUUACCGUUAUCACCGCAAAGGAUAUUCCAAGCGGUGGACAAAAUAUUGGUUCAAGCUUCCCAGGGAUGGGAGAAGAAGCACUUUUUGCAGAUCCAGUUGCUGAAUUUGCUGGUCAAAAUAUUGGUGUCGUGAUUGCUGAAACACAGAAGUAUGCCUACAUGGCAGCAAAGCAAGCCGUUAUUGAGUAUAGCACAGAAAAUCUGCAGCCACCAAUUCUGACAAUAGAAGAUGCAAUCCAACGAAACAGCUACUUCCAAACCCCCCCAUUUUUAGCUCCUACGCCAGUUGGUGAUUACAACCAAGGGAUGUCUGAAGCUGAUCACAAGAUUCUAUCAGCGGAGGUAAAACUGGAAUCCCAAUAUUAUUUCUACAUGGAGACACAAGUGGCGCUAGCUAUUCCUGAUGAAGAUAACUGCAUAACCAUCUAUUGUUCAACACAAAUUCCUGAGGUCACGCAAAAUGUGGUUGCAAAGUGCCUUGGCAUUCCAUUUCACAAUGUCCGCCUCAUCACCAGAAGAGUUGGAGGAGGCUUUGGUGGAAAGGCAAUGAAAGCAAUACAUGUUGCAUGUGCAUGUGCGGUUGCCGCAUUCAAGCUACAGCGUCCAGUUCGGAUGUACCUUGAUCGCAAGACAGACAUGAUAAUGGCAGGCGGUCGACAUCCUAUGAAGGUGAAGUACUCUGUUGGGUUCAAGUCAGAUGGCAAGAUCACAGCCUUGCACAUUGAUCUUGGGAUCAAUGCUGGAAUAUCGCCUGAUGUGAGCCCAAUGAUGCCACUUGCUAUCAUAGGUUCUCUCAAAAAGUACAACUGGGGCAAUCUUGCAUUUGACACCAAGGUCUGCAAAACAAAUGUCUCAUCAAAAUCAGCAAUGAGGGGGCCUGGAGAUGUGCAGGGCUCUUUCAUCGCUGAAGCCAUCAUUGAGCAUGUUGCCUCGGCACUUUCAGUUGACACUAACACCAUAAGGAGGAAGAACCUUCAUGACUUCGAGAGCCUUGUGGUGUUCUACGGAGAUACCGCAGGUGAAGCUUCUACCUACAGCCUAGUUACCAUGUUUGAUAAGCUGGCCUCCUCUCCAGAAUACCAGCGCCGAGCUGAAAUGGUGGAGCACUUCAAUAGAAGCAACAAGUGGAAGAAGCGUGGCAUUUCUUGUGUGCCAAUUACAUAUGAGGUUAGGCUUCGGCCAACUCCAGGCAAGGUGUCUAUCAUGAAUGAUGGUUCCAUUGCUGUUGAGGUCGGAGGGGUUGAGAUAGGCCAAGGGUUGUGGACAAAAGUGCAGCAGAUGACAGCAUUUGGAUUGGGAGAGCUGUGUCCUGACGGUGGUGAAAGCCUACUAGACAAGGUUCGCGUCAUUCAGGCCGAUACAUUGAGCAUGAUCCAGGGAGGGUUCACCGGUGGGAGCACCACUUCUGAAACUAGCUGUGAAGCGGUUCGACAGUCAUGUGUUGCACUAGUCGAGAGACUAAAGCCAAUCAAGGAGAAUCUGGAGGCUAAGGCUGGCACAGUGGAAUGGAGUGCCUUGAUUGCUCAGGCGAGGAUAAGCUUGCAAGUAUGGCGAGUGUGAACUUAUCAGCACAUGCAUACUGGACCCCUGAUCCAACUUUCACAAGCUAUUUGAACUACGGAGCUGGCAUUAGUGAGGUGGAAAUUGAUGUCCUGACAGGAGCCACAACAAUUCUAAGGAGUGACCUUGUCUACGAUUGCGGGCAAAGCUUGAACCCUGCUGUCGAUUUGGGCCAGGUGGAAGGUGCAUUCAUCCAAGGAGUAGGCUUCUUCACAAACGAGGACUACGCAACCAACUCUGACGGGUUGGUUAUCCACGAUGGUACAUGGACAUACAAGAUCCCCACGGUCGACACCAUCCCAAAGCAGUUCAAUGUUGAGCUGAUCAACAGCGCCCAUGACCAGAAGCGUGUCCUCUCUUCCAAAGCAUCGGGCGAGCCUCCGCUUCUUCUAGCUUCCUCAGUUCACUGUGCAAUGAGGGAGGCCAUCAGGGCCGCCAGGAAGGAAUUCUCGGUUUGCACUGGUCCAGCAAACUCCACCAUCACGUUCCAGAUGGACGUGCCGGCGACGAUGCCUAUCAUCAAGGAGCUCUGCGGCCUGGAUGUCGUCGAGAGGUACCUGGAGAGCAUGUCCGCUGCCAGCCCAACAGCCACUGCUCAAGCAUAGAUCCAGCAGGCACACUGCCUAUGAUGAGAGGGCUUAAUCAGUCUAUGUAAAAUUCUAAAGAACAGCAUGACAUGCCGAGCUUGUCUGUGUUAGCUCUGAUGUACAGAAGAAGAGGUAGCAAUGAAGAGCUGUGGUCUUUGCGAAUCAGGAGUCGUGAACAAUAGAGGAAAAAAAAUAAAAUAAAUAAGUGUCGGACAGGCGAAUGUGUGGAUGAAAUCAUGUGGUUUCGACUAGAUUUUGAAGAAAUCUUGCAAUGGAUCUUUGUUUGUA